rnacentral:rRNA from 1 species
UACGUAGGCAGCGAGCGUUGUUCGGAGUUACUGGGCGUAAAGGGCGCGUAGGCGGCGCGGUAUGUCUCUUGUGAAAUCUCCAGGCUCAACUUGGAGUCUGCAAGGGAAACUGCCGUGCUUGAGUACUGGAGAGGUGAGUGGAAUUCCUGGUGUAGCGGUGAAAUGCGUAGAUAUCAGGAGGAACACCUGUGGCGAAAGCGGCUCACUGGACCAUAACUGACGCUGAUGCACGAAAGCUAGGGGAGCAAACAGG